rnacentral:rRNA from 1 species
GGGCACUUCGCCGAAAGGGAUCCUAAGAUUAGAGUUUGAUCCUGGCUCAGAUUGAACGCUGGCGGCAGGCUUAACACAUGCAAGUCGAACGAUGACUCUCUAGCUUGCUAGAGAAGAUUAGUGGCGGACGGGUGAGUAACAUUUAGGAAUCUGCCUAGUAGUGGGGGAUAGCUCGGGGAAACUCGAAUUAAUACCGCAUACGACCUACGGGUGAAAGGGGGCGCAAGCUCUUGCUAUUAGAUGAGCCUAAAUCAGAUUAGCUAGUUGGUGGGGUAAAGGCCCACCAAGGCGACGAUCUGUAACUGGUCUGAGAGGAUGAUCAGUCACACCGGAACUGAGACACGGUCCGGACUCCUACGGGAGGCAGCAGUGGGGAAUAUUGGACAAUGGGGGCAACCCUGAUCCAGCCAUGCCGCGUGUGUGAAGAAGGCCUUUUGGUUGUAAAGCACUUUAAGCAGGGAGGAGAGGCUAAUGGUUAAUACCCAUUAGAUUAGACGUUACCUGCAGAAUAAGCACCGGCUAACUCUGUGCCAGCAGCCGCGGUAAUACAGAGGGUGCGAGCGUUAAUCGGAAUUACUGGGCGUAAAGCGAGUGUAGGUGGCUCAUUAAGUCACAUGUGAAAUCCCCGGGCUUAACCUGGGAACUGCAUGUGAUACUGGUGGUGCUAGAAUAUGUGAGAGGGAAGUAGAAUUCCAGGUGUAGCGGUGAAAUGCGUAGAGAUCUGGAGGAAAUACCGAUGGCGAAGGGCAGCUUCCUGGGCAUAAUAUUGACACUGAGAUUCGAAAGCGUGGGUAGCAAACAGGAUUAGAUACCCUGGUAGUCCACGCCGUAAACGAUGUCUACUAGCCGUUGGGGGUCCUUGAGGCUUUAGUGGCGCAGUUAACGCGAUAAGUAGACCGCCUGGGGAGUACGGCCGCAAGGUUAAAACUCAAAUGAAUUGACGGGGGCCCGCACAAGCGGUGGAGCAUGUGGUUUAAUUCGAUGCAACGCGAAGAACCUUACCUGGUCUUGACAUAGUGAGAAUCCUGCAGAGAUGCGGGAGUGCCUUCGGGAAUUCACAUACAGGUGCUGCAUGGCUGUCGUCAGCUCGUGUCGUGAGAUGUUGGGUUAAGUCCCGCAACGAGCGCAACCCUUUUCCUUAUUUGCCAGCGGGUUAAGCCGGGAACUUUAAGGAUACUGCCAGUGACAAACUGGAGGAAGGCGGGGACGACGUCAAGUCAUCAUGGCCCUUACGACCAGGGCUACACACGUGCUACAAUGGUAGGUACAGAGGGUUGCUACACAGCGAUGUGAUGCUAAUCUCAAAAAGCCUAUCGUAGUCCGGAUUGGAGUCUGCAACUCGACUCCAUGAAGUCGGAAUCGCUAGUAAUCGCAGAUCAGAAUGCUGCGGUGAAUACGUUCCCGGGCCUUGUACACACCGCCCGUCACACCAUGGGAGUCUAUUGCACCAGAAGUAGGUAGCCUAACGAAAGAGGGCGCUUACCACGGUGUGGUCGAUGACUGGGGUGAAGUCGUAACAAGGUAGCCGA